UUGGUAGCUUAGUUGGUAAAGCACUCGUCUAGUAAACAAGAGUCCUUGGUUCGAAUCCCAGCUGA
rnacentral:tRNA from 1 species